rnacentral:rRNA from 1 species
AUUGAACGCUGGCGGCAUGCCUUACACAUGCAAGUCGAACGGUAACAGGUUAAGCUGACGAGUGGCGAACGGGUGAGUAAUAUAUCGGAACGUGCCCAGUCGUGGGGGAUAACGUAGCGAAAGCUACGCUAAUACCGCAUACGAUCUACGGAUGAAAACGGGGAAUCGCAAGACCUCGCGCGAUUGGAGCGGCCGAUAUCAGAUUAGGUUGUUGGUGAGGUAAAAGCUCACCAAGCCUGCGAUCUGUAGCUGGUCUAGAGAGGACGACCAGCCACACUGGAACUGAGACACGGUCCAGACUCCUACGGGAGGCAGCAGUGGGGAAUUUUGGACAAUGGACGCGAGUCUGAUCCAGCAAUGCCGCGUGCAGGACGAAGGCCUUCGGGUUGUAAACUGCUUUUGUACGGAACGAAACGGUGAGCUCUAAUACAGUUUGCUAAUGACGGUACCGUAAGAAUAAGCACCGGCUAACUACGUGCCAGCCGCCGCCGUAA